rnacentral:rRNA from 1 species
CUACGGGGGGCUGCAGUGGGGAAUAUUGCACAAUGGGCGCAAGCCUGAUGCAGCCAUGCCGCGUGUAUGAAGAGGGCCUUCGGGUUGUAAAGUACUUUCAGCGGGGAGGAAGGGAGUAAAGUUAAUACCUUUGCUCAUUGACGUUACCCGCAGAAGAAGCACCGGCCAACUCCGUGCCAGCAGCCGCGGUAAUACGGAGGGUGCAAGCGUUAAUCGGAAUUACUGGGCGUAAAGCGCACGCAGGCGGUUUGUUAAGUCAGAUGUGAAAUCCCCGGGCUCAACCUGGGAACUGCAUCUGAUACUGGCAAGCUUGAGUCUCGUAGAGGGGGGUAGAAUUCCAGGUGUAGCGGUGAAAUGCGUAGAGAUCUGGAGGAAUACCGGUGGCGAAGGCGGCCCCCUGGACGAAGACUGACGCUCAGGUGCGAAAGCGUGGGGAGCAAACAGGAUUAGAUACCCCAGUAGUC